rnacentral:misc_RNA from 1 species
AAAUGUGGCAAGCCAUCUGCAGAAGUAUAGGCUUUACUUGAAAAGGAUCAAUUCAGUUCAAACCCAACAAGCAAACAUGGUUGCCGCAUUAGGGGGAAGGGACUAUGUGCGAAUGGGCUCACUGGAUGGGCUUGGAGAUUUUCGAACAUUGGGUGGAUCAGGACGGUAUACUCAUGCUGCCUUGUCAUCGUACAGUUCAGGGGGCAUGCUUGGCAGACUAAAUAGUGCUGCUGGUCUAAGUGUGCGCAAUCUUGCAGCAUCUCAGCUACUCCAACCUAGUCAUGGUCAAAAUUUGAGCAAUUCCGUUAAUGCUUUCACGAAACUGAAUCCAAGCAUUCCGCCAGCCAGCCAGAAUGCUAGUUUAUUUCAAGGCAUUCCUGCAUCAUUGGAGCUUGAUCAAUUGCAG